UCCUACGGGAGGCAGCAGUGGGGAAUAUUGCACAAUGGGCGCAAGCCUGAUGCAGCAGCGCCGCGUGAGGGACGAAGGCCUUCGGGUUGUAAACCUCUUUUAGUAGGGAAGAAGCGACUGGGUUUCCCUGGGAGUGACGGUACCUGCAGAAAAAGCACCGGCUAACUACGUGCCAGCAGCCGCGGUAAUACGUAGGGUGCAAGCGUUGUCCGGAAUUAUUGGGCAUAAAGAGCUCGUAGGCGGUUUGUCGCGUCUGCUGUGAAAACCCGAGGCUCAACCUCGGGCCUGCAGUGGGUACGGGCAGACUAGAGUGCGGUAGGGGAGAUUGGAAUUCCUGGUGUAGCGGUGGAAUGCGCAGAUAUCAGGAGGAACACCAAUGGCGAAGGCAGAUCUCUGGGCCGUAACUGACGCUGAGGAGCGAAAGCAUGGGGAGCGAACAGGAUUAGAUACCCUGGUAGUCCAUGCCGUAAACGUUGGGAACUAGAUGUGGGGACCAUUCCACGGUCUCCGUGUCGCAGCUAACGCAUUAAGUUCCCCGCCUGGGGAGUACGGCCGCAAGGCUAAAACUCAAAGGAAUUGACGGGGGCCCGCACAAGCGGCGGAGCAUGCGGAUGAAUUUGAUGCAACGCGAAGAACCUUACCAAGGCUUGACAUACACCGGAAACGGCUGGAAACAGUCGCCCCGCAAGGUCGAUAUACAGGUGGUGCAUGGUUGUCGUCAGCUCGUGUCGUGAGAUGUUGGGUUAAGUCCCGCAACGAGCGCAACCCUCGUCCUAUGUUGCCAGCACGUAAUGGUGGGAACUCAUGGGAUACUGCCGGGGCCAACUCGGAGGAAGGUGGGGAUGACGUCAAAUCAUCAUGCCCCUUAUGUCUUGGGCUUCACGCAUGCUACAAUGGCCGGUACAAAGGGCUGCGAUACCGCAAGGUGGAGCGAAUCCCAAAAAGCCGGUCUCAGUUCGGAUUGAGGUCUGCAACUCGACCUCAUGAAGUCGGAGUCGCUAGUAAUCGCAGAUCAGCAACGCUGCGGUGAAUACGUUCCCGGGCCUUGUACACACCGCC
rnacentral:rRNA from 1 species